rnacentral:rRNA from 2 species
AAAACUUUCAACAACGGAUCUCUUGGUUCUGGCAUCGAUGAAGAACGCAGCGAAAUGCGAUAAGUAAUGUGAAUUGCAGAAUUCCGUGAAUCAUCGAAUAUUUGAACGCACAUUGCGCCCUUUGGUAUUCCGGAGGGCAUGCCUGUUCGAGCGUCAUU